rnacentral:rRNA from 1 species
GAUCCUGGCUCAGGAUGAACGCUGGCUACAGGCUUAACACAUGCAAGUCGAGGGGAAACGACAUCGAAAGCUUGCUUUUGAUGGGCGUCGACCGGCGCACGGGUGAGUAACGCGUAUCCAACCUGCCCAUCACUUGGAAAUAACCUUGCGAAAGUAAGACUAAUGCCCAAUGACAUCCCACGAAGGCAUCCGAAUGGGAUUAAAGAUUUAUCGGUGAUGGAUGGGGAUGCGU